GGCCCGCGAAGGCCUGGGAUCAAAGAGUGUGGAGGUCGUGGCUACGCCGGCUCAGCUUCUCCGGGUCGUCAGACGCCAUGAGCGAGAAGUCUCGGAAGAUGUCCAGAUACGUCUCGUCUCCUGGGUGGAAGGAAGGGAGGGAGGCCUGGGCGGGCGCGGCCAGGAGUCGGGGAAGGGGGACCCCGAGGGCGCGCCGUUCUGUUCCGAGGACCCGGCGCGCCACCCGCGCCCCACACAGAUUUGUUGCAAAAGGUGCUGACGUUAAUCCGUAAGGCUGGGUGCGACGGGGACCGGGCUUCGGGGGCCAGAAGCCCAGAAUGACAGUGUGCGGCCGGGGCGGGAGGUACUUUACCUGCCUGGCCCUGGGCCGCUUCGGCCUCCCUCAUCUUUGCCAGUCGUAGCCUGAAGGGGAAGGAAUGAAUGUAUGCAUGACUUUUCUUCACUCCCCCCACUCGGACUGCCUGUCCUCUAAGCUGGGUUAAUUCCUCGGCUCCCCUGGGAUCCAGUGCUUAAAGGCGUUUGUCAGCAUCGACGCCUCUCACUCAGGACGAUCUCACCGUCCGUGGACCCUACUCGGCCCCCUGCCUGCUCCAGGCUCCGAUCUACACUGGAGACAGCCCUUCUCCGGCCCGGUACUGGGACUUGCCCAGGCCCUCAGGGCGUUGGCCCGCCCCCAGCGGGCAGGGCAAGCGCUAGCCCCGCCCCGCGGGCGUCCUUACAGUGUAACGAUGUCCGCAUUGGCUGUUUCCAUGGCGAUGGUCAGAGGGUCCUUGCCUUCCGAGUCUUGAGCUCCCAGAUCGGCCCCCCGUUUCAGGAACAGGCAGGCCAGCCUGGAAAGGACAGCCAGGGUCAGCGGGCCACUCACCCUACCCGAGCCUCCUUUCCCACGUCCAUCAUCCCCGCUGCCCCUACCCCGUGUGGCCAAGAAUGGUGGCAUGGUGGAGCGGCCCCCGGCCGUGGUUGUCCGUUUGGUUCACAUUCGCCCCGUUCUGGAGGAGAAACUCACAGGCCAGAAGAGAAUUCUGCAGCGAGAGGUUGCGAGCAGGGAGAGAAGGUGGCGUCUUUAGAAGCAGGCCGAAGAUAUUUUCGGAUGGGGCCCCGCAGCCCAGCAGGCCGUUCGCCACGUCGCGCCCUGACUCACAAACUCCAUGAUGUCAAACUUCCUCUUGUCCUCAAUCACGUUGAUCUGAGGGCCCAAAAGACAUCGGGUUUUUCUAACCCACACACUUCCAGAAGACUGAACUCGUGACAGACAGGUACCUCCAUGCGAUGCAGUAGCGCCGGGCCACACAAACGAACAAGGGACCCACACGUGAACUACUUGAACUAACACCUAACAACCUGAACAAACUUCAAGGGCGUUAUUCCCAGAGAGAAGAGGGGGAAGGCUAAUCAUGAGAGGCCACACGUUGUAUGUCACUUAUGUAACAGUGCAGAAAACAAAAGUCUGGAGGAGAACCGAUGAGCCAUUGCCAGGGAUCCGAGCAGGCGGGGCGGGGGUCAGGAUGGGGGGGAGCAUGCAAGAGCUCCCAGCGGUGAGUUCUGGUGAGUCCUGUGUCCUAACGUGACACCAGCUAGAAGAAUCUAUGUGUGUGACACAGCGCCGUUGAAUUCUACGCAAAGACUUUUUUUUUUGGGAAAAAAAAGUACAGUCGACCCUUGUCCGACAUGGGUUUGAACUGUGCUGAUCCACUUAGAAGUGAGUGAACUUUUUGCGAUAAACACAGUGUUAUCUUC